UCGUCGGCGCAGCAGUGGGUAAUAUUGCACAAUGGGGGAAACCCUGCAUGCGAGCGACGCCGCGUGGAGGAAGAAGUGUCUUCGGAUUGUAAACUCCUGUUGUUGGGGAAAAGAAGGAUGGUACCCAACAAGGAAGUGACGGCUAACUGAC
rnacentral:rRNA from 1 species